CAAAACCCUUAUUUUUAUCACAGUUCAGUUCCAUUAACUUUACCACUCGAUCUACUACCUUCGUCUCUCAACCGCUCUCAAAGCAUGCUGCACCCGUCGUGCCACCACCGUCCCUGCCGCUCUUGUUUCGCUUGUGCACAGUGAGCAUUUGGUCACGCUUCUCAACAACUGCUUCAUCUCUUUCUCUCACGCUGUGUCAGUUCAGAAAUCGGAACUCAUCUCUGGAUUUCGAUUUCGUCGAUUAGUUCUGAAUCGGUGAUAUCUGAAAAACGAAGUUCAGAAGAAAUGCUUCUGAGGUGAAACCCCCUCAAGGUAUGAGUUUUUGAGCAUGGUGAAGAAGCACUCGAAUUUGAUACUAGAUCUGGUGAGUUGGGGUUUGGUUGAUGCUUGCAAUUGAUCUGGAAGUUGGGGGUUUCUGGCUUGGUGAAGGUAUGUGGCUAUGCUGUUUUGUGUUGUUGGUUCUUUUACUGUAUUUUGUACAAUUAGUCAUGAACACUUCAAAUUAAGCUUAUUUGUGGUUCAUUUGCGCUAUGCUCAACAAGUUUAUCUCAUGAUAUAUUUCAAGCAGCAAAACAUAUAUAGCAGAAAACAUGUAUAAGAAUCUGAACGAAUUUAGUUAGAGAAAAGAAUGAAGAUGUUGUGCAGGUUCUAAACCAAAAAUUUCUUUGACAUCCAUGCCUGGUUUGAACCAGCUUGAGGUAGAGGAUCUUUAUCAUUGUUGUUUUUCUUUGUGUAGCUUCUUAUAAUUGGUUUGACAUUACUAGUUUUUCUUUUCCUUGCUCAAGUUUCAUGUACCCCUUUUCCAUUAAAAAAUUUGUGCAUAUAUUUCAGGAUGUCACAAAUAAAUGAUGAGUUUUGGCGAUGGAAGUAGAAAAGAAUUGGCCAAAAAGUUGUCUCUUUUUUCAGUGCUUCUUUCCUCAAAACAUGGUCCAACAUCUUGAGACACCAUUGUUUCUACUCAAUGCUUCAUACGAUACAUGGCAGUGUGUUUGGGUUGUUUAAUGUGUCUGCCAAGUGGUAUGCAUUCUUUUUGUUGGUAGUAUUCCAGCUUCUCAUAUAAAAUGUCUCACUACUUGGACACCUUUGUGGCAUUUUAUCUGGGUUUGCAUGUCAGAUUUCACUCAUUUUGCCUCCCUUUUCAUUUUCUAUUUUUGCCAAUAUUUGAGCAAUUGACCUCAAGUUUUAUAUUGUGUUGCUUAAUGUUCCAGAUACAUAUGGCUUGUUUAAUUUCCUCAUACCUAGGAAAUCUUUUUAUUCUUCCAUUGAAGCCUCUUCCUUGCUUGUAAGUAUCUUUCUGGAAUUGGCUUUGGUACUGCACAAAGAUGACAAAACUUGCAUUUGAUUGCUUUCAUAUCCUCUUGAGUCUUGAUGUUAUCAUUGGACUUGAUUCAUAUACAUAUCAAAUCACAUUUAUAAAUUGUACUUUUGAUCUGUUUAUAAACAUGUCUAUUUAUUUACAUGAAGUUUUCUAUAGAACAGAGAUAUCUGAGUUUACAGCAUCCAUUUAGUCGUCUUUAUUCCUUGGCUUUUGUAGUGCCCUUGUCACUACAUAAUGAAGAGCAAUUUGCGUGAAGUUAAAGAUGAGUGGGCCGCUUAAUGUAGUUAACACAUCUUUUUAGUAGUUAAUCUAUUAGAUGUUGAUAUUAUGCACUUUAGAAAUUGUUUCAGAUUUAUGAAGCUUUAUAUAUAUAUAUAUAUAUAUAUAUAUAUAUAUAUAUAUAUUUGGACAGGUCCCGCCAAACAAGAUACUUGCGAGACCUUAACGUUAGGUCAACGCUGGGUAAGGCGAGUCAACGAAGGAGCUCGCCAGUGUCCAGACAGGUUUAAUUAGGCAUAUGGGUCAAUACUAAGGCUCAAUAGACCAUAGACAAGGCCCAAAUGUAAUAGAUUUAGACAAGGCCCAAAUGUAAUAGAUUUAGGUUUAGGGUUCAGCCCCACUAUAAAAGACUAACCCCCAUUCAUAAUAGAGGAGGUUCUUUCUUUGGCAUAACAAUGACUACCAUAAACCCUAGAGGAAGGUCAUCAUUAUUCAUGUAAGAACACUUUUUGGCGCCCACCGUGGGGCCGGUAAAUUUUCCAUUCCCGCCUCCACAAAGGAACUCAUCGAUCAAGGUGAGAAAGGUUUUGGUGUGAUAUCAUGUUGGGACGGAUUUUAGUUCUGAGGGAUGAAUCUUCGAUGGUCUUUUUCUGAUCUGGAUUCAUGAGGGAAUGUCUUCACCUUCUGGAAUCCAUCUCGCAGCACCUCUUUCGACGGUACGUUCUUCCUCUGUGUUCAGUAACCAUGGCGGCAAGGGCUUGGUGAGCAGCAUCGGCGACGAUUCUUGGCGUCGGGUGAGGAAAUGGCGAGACGAGCUCUCAAUGUUCAUCGCUCAGUUCGUCAUGGCGGUUACCUCACCACUGUCGACGGAUUCACCCCUACUCGCCUAUCACCAUGGUGUUUCUUGUCCGCUGUAGCAGGUCUCACCGCCAGGAAGCUCAACGUCAAGGAAUGAACCAGAACUGAUUCCGAGAAGCGCAUCUGACCACUCACAUUCUCUCUUUCUCUGAUAUUACUAUGUGUUUCUUAAUAACCUUUGAAAGUUCUACCUCUGAGUUUUCAGGCCUCAUUGCUCUCUUUGUGCAGAGAUUUACAUGUGCUGUUCGGUGUUCUGCACAGAAGGUGUUUGAUAAAAUGACUCUGUGAGUUCGUUGGUGAAAAUGGAGGACCGUGAAAGGCAGCGGGGACUAAUUCGGACUCAGAAAGCUGUCACCAUGUAUCAGGGCAGUGAAACCUCCACUCAGCUAGCUUGUCUUUCUAAUUUCGUUCCUCAUUUCAUUACCAUGGGGUUUUUGUUUAUGUUAUGUCUGCAUUAUUAACUGAUGAACAUUUGACUCAGAUCUGAAACAUUGCUAGCCGAGUAGUAUCAUUGUCUUAAAUAAAUAUGUACUUUUAAUUUCCAUUGAUCUUACUAUUUUGAGCAUGCUUUCGCUUAUGAGAAACAUGUUCUAAUAAUCAUCACCAAACUAUGCAUUGUGGAAAUUCAAUCUGUCUAUCAAUCUAUUGCUUUGAGUUCGCCUCUUGUGUUUUUCUUGAAAUCUGAAUGCUCUCUAUGUAUUCGACAAAUUAACUAAAUGGCUGGUUAGGAUAAGCUGGUUAAGGUAAGCUUUCUAUGAGUUUUCUUAGACAUUUGUGGGUUAAUUUUUUAAGUUGAUUUUAACAUUUGCCUCUGAGCAGGAUUAACACAGACUUUCAGGGUCGUUUCCUUAAUAUCAUGAUAAGUUAUUUGCUUACAUUGUCAUGAGAUGCAAAAACAAUUUGUUUAAUUGAGUUAUUGAUAUAAAUCGAACUUCAUAUCAUCCCUGUAUGCAUUAAUAAAGAACAUCUUCAUGGUGAUGUACUCUAGUGAAAGAUCAUAUGAAAUGAUUGAAUAGAUUUCUCAAGCACCACUUGUUUGAUAAAUUAUUUGACUGAAUUUUCACUACACUGCAAUAAAAAUCUCAAUGCCUGCAAACUGUUUGGUAAGAUGCAUGAUUGGAAUUUCGCUCUUUAUCUUCAUCUCUGAAAUGCAAUUCAAACGCUUGGAAAAUGUUUUAUUGGGAUGACUGAAUGAUUGGUGAGCACACUUCAAAUUCGUCUUAUAAUCUCUAUAUAUUGCAACUGCUUGAUGCCAUGAAAAAAUGAGUUUUAGUUACAUUUCAAGUGCAUGCUUGAUUAACUUAAAGUGGCUGAAAAAUAACAGAAUGAAUUUGAACCCAUAUCUCCAUUGUACUUAACUGCUAAAUUCACGUGUAUUGAUUUGUACAGUUUGCAAUUGGUAGAAUAGUUUAUGCACUAGAACUGUUUGAUAAAAUGCCUCACAAAAACCUUGUUUUGUAUCUCCUACUAGUUGCUUGACAUAAUGCCUGGAAGAUUUGUACAAAAACAUAAAAUAAGAAAAUAUUUUCCGUAAUUGAACAGCAUGAUUACGAUAGAUUCAUCUAACUGCUUGGAGUGAAAUUGUUCACACUGAAUGGAGGAGGUCCAAAAAGUUUUAGAUUCUCUUUGAUUUUCUUUCCACUCUUUGUACCAUGAAUUAUUAUUACCCUGAAGCUGACAUUAUCAUUCUUUGCACUCUUGAUGUAUGGUACAAAUCUGAGGAUCAUGAGGGACCAGGAAUGAGUGGAUAAAUCAAGGCAGCAUAAUCUAUAUUUGGUUGAAAGGAAGGAAGAAUUAAAGAGGCUGUCAUGAACCAGGGGAGUAUAAUAUUCUUGCUGUUAGCCAGGUUAUCUGAUCUCAGCUCUACCUUUCUGACAAUUUUAAUGCACACUGCCUAUCUGAUAGACCACCUCAGUGAUUUAUUGAAUAUAUGCAUAUGGGCAUAUAUCCACAAUCUGCACAAUCUGCAUGCUACUUGUUUAUAUGACAGUGAUCUUCUCUUUUCUUUUGAUGAUGGUACUUUGAAGAACAAUCCUACAGCUUUAAUUUAAUGAACUUUUGGAAAGUGUAUAAUUUUAGAAGAUGUUAUAUAUCCUUAUAUGAAUCUGAACUGUUGGAGUUACGAAAAAUAAAUGAGCUUCAAUCUUGAUGAAUAAGGAAGUUUAAGGUGAUUUUAUUAAAGUAAUCUUUGCUAAUGAUUUGUUAUAUUUCCGGCAAGACAGGCUCUUGAAAAGAUGUUAAAGUAUGUUUGCUGUAUGAUCUGAAACUGGUUACAUUGAUCUUAAUGUAUUUGCUGUCACUUUACUGUCUUGAUUUAACAAUAGUUGAAAUAAACUCUAAGCUGGAAUAUCUGAACAAAGCAAGCGCAUAGCAAUUCCUCCUAUGAAUAAAUUUUGCUGCAAACUGUUGUUCUCAUUACCUCCUACUCAUCCCCAAAUGACUCCUACAUGUGUGAAAAAUUCUCUUAUGGAUUAGACCUGAUCUGAAUUCUGAAAGCGAUAUUGUUUGGAUGCUGUUACAAAGAUCUCUCAAUGAGACAUGAUAUGCUAGCUUAACUCUAUCUAGCUUGCAUAGUUCUGCUAUUUUAGGAAUUGUCUAUUGCUGGUUCUGAUUUUAUUUUUAUUAGGAUUUCCUCACUAUGGCUAUAUUCCUAUACAGUAGCAUCCAUUGUUGAUAGUACUCGUUUUAUGUGAAUGUGAAGUUUUCCUCAAUAUACAAAUACAUGAUCAGGUUUCUUUUAUGUGAAUGUACUAUUAAUUCCCGGCAGAGGGACUUCUUGUUAUGCCUUAUGCUUUUAAUGUUGAUUAUGGUUACACUUCCACACAAUUGAAAUUUGUCAUUCACAAAAUGCAAAUGAAUUUGAUAUCAAAGGAAUAGCUUAAAUGGAAAGUCCAAUUGGAUGGUGUUACAAAUUGAUAUUUACAGUACAAGUAUAAGACUCCAUGGCUAGUAAGGCUGAGUUUAUGAGAUUACGUCAUUAAGGACGAUUUAUGGCAAGGUACGUAUAAGACUCCAUGGCUAGUAAGGCUGAGUUUAUGAGAUUACGUCAUUAAGGACGAUUUAUGGCAAGGUACGUUGUACGCCAAACCUGGGUUGGACCCGCCAACUACAUGUUGGAUAGUGGCCACGCAGUUAACCGAGGUUGGUCCCGCCAGCUAUAUGUUGGAUAGGAACCGCCCGUUUCAGCGCGUAAUGAGCCGCGUCAUGUAACUUGAACACAUCACCGAAACCUGGGUUGGAUACGCCGGCUACAUCGUUGGAUAGUGCCCACCCAGUUCGUGCUUAAAAGAGCCGCGGGACCACAUGAGAUGCCAAUAAAAGAAUCUCAACGAAAGGCAAAACAUGUGCCAACGGUUAAGGACGGUCCUUUUGAUGUCCUCAUGUCUUUGAGACUUUGUUCUUGCAGCUUCAUGUGACUUGGUUGUUCACAUCUCCAAAACCUAGGCCGGUCUCGCCUCCUAUAUGUGGGAUAGAGAUAGCACGGUUCGCCCUUUAAGAGCCGCAUUAAGACUUGGGGCGCGAAUGAAGCGACCUCAUAACAAAGUGAAACAGGCCGAGUGUAAAAGCAAGGUCAACAAACACGUUAUUUGCAUCUCGCCACUGUUGUCACUCUCAAAACAUUUGGUUGUUGGUGGUAUUUGAACUUUAUUUCCAGAUUACGUGUUUAGCGAAUUAAUGAUAAGUUCAAAAGUAUGAUUCUACAAGUCAAUUUCUUCAAUACUCGCAUGAUUCUCCAUGGCUAUAUGUUGGGUUGAGAACAUGUGACUGCGUCGUUAGGAAUGACAUUGUGCAAUAGAUUUUGGCGGCUUGAUCUCGUCAUCUUAUCAUUGUCAUCUUGGAGUAAAGACGCGCUUCGUCUUCAUGCUUCAGACUCGGCGUCUUGCGGGCAUGAGAACUGGGCAGAUACUUCCCACAUAUGAUGACUUCUUCAGACAUGGUAGCAAAUGUAUUUAUUAGUCGAUUUUGUGGCGGGUUAUAUGUUCAUUAUGCCAUUGUUGGCACUUGUAUUUAUUGGUCGUUUUUAUGGCGAGUUGUAUGUCUACUACGCCAUGUUGGCGACCUAUAUGCUUUAUAGAGGACACUCUUCACUUUCAAAGUCGAGUUUAGAACGGUGUAACCUGGAAGGCUAGUUAACGAGUUGUCUAAGGGCGGCACGUGUUCUUUGAGACUUGAGACAAUUAGGACAUACUCCUGCUUCAGACCCGGCGUCUUGCGGGCAUGUGGACUGGACUUGCCCUAUGUUGGCGGGUCGAGACCUGAUACUAAAGACGCACUUCAUCCUUCUGCACAAGGACUCGACGUCUUGCGGGCAUGUGGACAGGUCCCGCCAAACAAGAUACUUGCGAGACCUUAACGUUAGGACAACGCUGGGUAAGGCGAGUCAACGAAGGAGCUCGCCAGUGUCCAGACAGGUUUAGUUAGGCGUAUGGGUCAAUACUAAGGCUCAAUAGACCAUAGACAAGGCCCAAAUGUAAUAGAUUUAGACAAGGCCCAAAUGUAAUAGAUUUAGGUUUAGGGUUCAGCCCCACUAUAAAAGGCUAACCCCCAUUCAUAAUAGAGGAGGUUCUUUCUUUGGCAUAACAAUGGCUACCAUAAACCCUAGAGGAAGGUCAUCAUUAUUCAUGUAAGAACAAUAUUUAUUGGUAUUGAUAUGCUAUAGAGAAAUAUGAAUAGGUGGGGGUAAUUCAGGGGCUGAAAAAAGAACUGCUCUGUCACUCAAUUACAGCGGUUAAAGUUUCGAAACCGCUGUAAAAGAAUAUCUACCUACAGCGGUUACGCGGAAGAACCGUUGUUGUAGCUAGGUAUUUACAGCGGUUAAACUGAAGAACCGCUGUAAAUAAGUCAUCUUUUACAGCAGUUCGAACCGCUGUAUAGUCUUUUACAGCGGCGAGAUCUACAGCGGGUCAAAACCGCUGUAAAAGCCCAAAUUUAACCGCUGUAAAAGCCCUUUUUUGGCGUAGUGGACACAAUAAUUACAAGACCCAACCGGGCAAGCUGAAUAACAUAAGUCGAAAAUCAAAGAAACCGAACAAGCUAAUCAUUACUAUUACCAGCAAAAGUUAUCAUUACAAACGGUCAACUAUUACAAUCGUCCAGAAGGACUCAAAACACUUAAGCAAAAAAUAAAAUGACAUAACAAUCCCCUCAGGGAGCCUGCUCCGCCGGGAGACCACCUUUCGAUAGCCAAUCGGCCCAGUCUCCAAACCCGGGUUGACAACCGAAAGCUGGAUCACCGCAUUGUUGAAGGAAGCCUUGUUGAUCUUCGACACGGUGGCCGCCAGCUUCUUCUUAUCAGCCUCCAGAGAAGCGACCCUGGCCUCGAGCUCUUUUUUCUCUUUCUUCAGAGCAGUACUCUGAUCAAGCUCCUAAAGCCGAGCGGCCUUCUCCCCCACCAAUUCCUUCUCUACCUCCUUCAAUCGAGCCGCACCGGUCUCAGUGCUCUCCUCAGCAAGCUUCAGCCGUUUCCCCAAGUCUUGUCGAGCCGCAUCACCGUCCAAUACCUUCUUCGUCAGCUGCUCAUUCUCGGCCUUCGCAUUGUCCAACGCCUUGCUCAAUUCCUCGAUCGUAGAGCACCCCGCCUCCAGCUCCCCGCUCAUGGAAGAUAUCAACUGCCCAUCCUUCUCGACUUUCUGUCUGAGCUCCUCCAAUUCCGGCAGAGCCGACGACUGCAAAUACCGAACAGCAGAGGCAGUCUUGAGCGAGGCCCAGAGAGCAUAAUUGAGGAGUCCGUAGGGCUCCUGAUCACCCAGGUACUUCUGGUCACUCUCCGUCAGCACAAGAUCGUCGAUCUGAUCUAGAUGUUCUGGGCAAUUGGCUGCCCUAGGACCCCACAUCGAAAUCCCAGUGAGGGCUACCACGGUAACGGGCUCCACCCGCUCCGCCUUGGAACUCUGCCCCUCGCCAUCAAAGUAAUCUUGAUUGCGCUCCACCCUCCGCUUCUUUGGGGUCGGAUUCCGGGCACCCUCUUCAUCAGACGACUGCCCCUCCUCUUGGACGGGAACAGAGCCCCGACCCCCUGGGGAUACACCCUUCGGAGGAGAACCAGUUCCCUGGCCGCCCUCCAUCAAGGCCUUCUCCGCGGACCCAGAUGUCCCCCCUACCUCAGCCCCUUCCACACUCUUAGGAUCGGGGACCGGCUGAUUUCCAACACCUUCCUCCCCCCCCCAAUCGGCGCUCACCUUCGGAAACCUCAGUCUCUUGAUCCGCCUCCUCAUCCGUGGUCUGACCGUCUUCCACCUGCAACGCCUCCAACAGGGUCCGAUCAAUGUCUGCCAUAGCACCUGCCCAAAGAAGAACGACAUUAGCAAACAAAAGACAGAAAGAAACGACGAAGGGUAUAAUAUAUAGAUAACUUACGCAAUACCUUAGCAUUCUUCCGAACGUUGAAGGAACACAAGUCAUAACAACGAAGGGGACGAACCGUAACUUUCUUGUCCCCCUCUAUGACGUAACGAACGACACCCAUCAACAACCGUUAGAAUUCCAGAUCGGUCUCCGAUAGGGCGCCCUCGUCCGAGAAACUGAACGACGUCAACUUCUCUUUAUAAUGGGCCGCAUUCCAGGCCAGCGGGAAGCGCGGUCGCAUUCCGCCGCUCGGACCCUGCUCAAACCACCAGUAGGGAGGGGGCGAGGUUGGCACCACCCGGCAGAACUGGUCCUUGAAAUCUUUAUACGAAUCGGCAAAGGCCUUAAAUAUCGGGUAUACCGUUCUCAGGGUCACCAUGCCGUGACCACCGUGGCCUUGGGUAUGGGCGACCGCGAAAAGAUGGAAGAAUAGAGGCAGGGAGGGCACCUGCCCAAAGAUAGCGCAGGUCGUCUCAUAGCCUCGCACGAAGCCCCAACCCCCCGGGUGAGGUUGGGAGGGGGCCACCAUCAUGUGCCUGAGCACAGCGACCUGAAAAUCGGUAAGCGGCAUCCGCACCUUCACCUUCUUCAUCGUAUAAAUAUGCAUAUAGAUGCUGAAUGGGGGGGGGUCUGCGGGAGCCUCUCCGUCUUCCCAGGAGCAAGGACGUCAUGCUCAGGACCGAUCUGCUUCUGUGACAGAUAAUACUGCUUCCGGAAGUGUCCCUCGUCCUCGUUAGCAUAACAGGACUCGAUCUUCAAGAUCUCCCUGCACCAUUCGUCCAAGGGCGCCAAGUCACCCUCCAGAUGGGGAAACUUCUUCCGAUCGAUUUCCUUCCGUUUCGGGGCGUUCUGACUCAGCUUCGGUUUGGAACUCUCCCCGACUGCUUUACCUUUUCUCUUUUGGGCACCAGCCAUACCGAAACCUGCGCAAGGGAAAACGUCGUCUCAAUAUUACAAUUCAUUGAUCACGACUCAAAGGGGAAACCCGCCAGGAUCCGUCUUUGUCCCCGGCAGGGAGAACAAACCCUGCGCCGAAGGGACGGCCCAUGGACCGCCCCUCAGUCGCACGGGGGGAGGAGACCACUCCCACCCGAAAGACGCACCCUAGAAACCCCUAGAGAACGGAACUAGGAAGAAAGGGAAGAAAAGUAAAAUAAAAGGCAGAAGAAGUUGAGAAGAACUUACAAAGGAAAUGACGGGGACGACCACCAAGAAAUCAGGAACGACCGCCUCGAAAACGACGUCUAACGGCGCAGAAAUUCAGAACUUUAAGGAAGAAAAGAGGAGAGCUUGAGGUGCGAAAAAGCGCAAAUGAAGCCCCUCCCUCUCUUUUAUAAGGAAACUCGGGAAUGGGAAGCGACGCUUCACCAAACCCUACGACUGUAAUGAUGACGCUAGGGGAGGCGGGAAAAAUCUCGUCCAAUCCGCUUCCGCCACGUCAGCAAGGAGAACGAAACGACGUAACGCGUGCCACACUUUGUCAGACGCAUUAAUUACGCCGCAGAAACGUCGCUUCACGUUACUGUGGCAUAACGUUUAGAGUUCGGGACCGCCCAGUCGUCCAUAGACUACGAAGGGAGUCGACUGGUUACCCCCCUCUCCCGCCACCGUAUGCCGGGUAGUCCGGAACACCACCUUUCCUCCUCCACCCGUCCGGACACAACUCUAAAGCUCAUGCCCCACUCAUACAGUGGGGCAGAGCUGGGGGACUACUGUUCUGGUAGGGGCUGACAGGAACCGACCGGAGGGCGCUCAAGCGAGCCUCACCUAGGAGGGCCUCACCUAAAGCUCCAGGCCCGCUAAAGUAGUGGACCAGAGCUGGGGGACUACUGUUCUGGGACGGACGGAGACACACCGACCCCUACCCCAGUAUGGUUAGUACCUGUUCUGGGACGGACGGAGACACACCGACCUCUACCCCCAGUAUGGUUAGUACCCGAUCAGGGUUACCCGGUGAAGGCCCCGAGGGGACGACCGGGGUCGGAUGUCCGGGCCCUGUACCACAAGCAGGACGACAUCCUCCCCUGAUCCAAGAACCUGGACCCCACCACCUAGAGGUUGACCUAGGCCCACCACCCUACGGAACUAGGGUGGUUGGGAGGUGGGUCCCUAGGGAUUCUAGGCCGUUGGAUCACUGUUAACAACAGGAGGAGCAGAAGGAUCCAACGGUUCCUAGUCCACCGGUACGGACCAUGCAUGACGUUGCAUGGCUCCAACCCUAAUACCCCAACGUGUAUAUAAGGGAGGCGACACAUCCAUUCUAAGGAGCCCCUCCCGGGAUCACUCAGUUCGUCAGAACACCAGCCCUUCUUCCCUCUUGGCUGCCCCAGCACUCCGUGAUCAUCCCAAUCAAGAUAUAAAUGUUUUCAUUUGAAAAUCUUUACGUAACGUUAUGCAAUGGAUAAGAAAACAAUAGUCCUUCAAUUAUUUUUUUCGUAGAUGUUAUUCAAUUCUUUCAACACUAUGUUUCAUGCAUA